AUUGGAUGAGCCCGCGGCCUAUUAGCUAGUUGGUGGGGUAACGGCCUACCAAGGCGACGAUGGGUAGCCGGCCUGAGAGGGUGUACGGCCACACUGGCACUGAGACACGGGCCAGACUCCUACGGGAGGCAGCAGUGGGGAAUUUUGCGCAAUGGGGGAAACCCUGACGCAGCAACGCCGCGUGAGUGAUGAAGGCCUUCGGGUCGUAAAGCUCUUUUAGUGGGGAAGAAUCCCACCCGGGCUAAUACCUCGGGUGUCUGACGGUACCCACAGAAAAAGUUCCGGCUAACUACGUGCCAGCAGCCGCGGCCGAU
rnacentral:rRNA from 1 species